GCCUCAGUAGUUCAACGGACAGAACGAGGCCCUCCUAAGGCCUAGACGCAGGUUCAUUGCCCGCCUGCGGCG
rnacentral:tRNA from 1 species